GUCAACUUAGCUCAGUGGUAGAGCAGGUCUGUACCAGGGACUAUGACAUGGGUUCAACUCCCAUAGUUGUCA
rnacentral:tRNA from 1 species